rnacentral:rRNA from 1 species
AUACGUAGGUGACAAGCGUUAUCCGGAUUUACUGGGCGUAAAGGGCGUGUAGGCGGUCUUGCAAGUCAGAAGUGAAAUUCCUGAGCUCAACUCGGGCGCUGCUUCUGAAACUGCAGGACUUGAGUGCUGGAGGGGAUAGCGGAAUUCCUAGUGUAGCGGUGAAAUGCGUAGAUAUUAGGAGGAACACCAGUGGCGAAGGCGGCCUGCUGGACGACAACUGACGCUGAGGCGCGAAAGCGUGGGGAGCAAACAGGAUUAGAUACCCUGGUAGUCCACGCUGUAAACGAUGAAUACUAGGUGUGGGGGGACUGACCCCCUCCGUGCCGCAGUUAACACAAUAAGUAUUCCACCUGGGGAGUACGAUCGCAAGAUUGAAACUUAAAGGAAUUGACGGGG